CAGCAGUGAGGUAUAUUGGUCAAUGGCCGCAGGGCUGAACCAGCCAAGUCGCGUGAGGGAUGACGGUCCUAUGGAUUGUAAACCUCUUUUGUCAGGGAGCAAAGGGCGCCACGUGUGGCGCUUUGCGAGUACCUGAAGAAAAAGCAUCGGCUAACUCCGUGCCAGCAGCCGCGGUAAUACGGAGGAUGCGAGCGUUAUCCGGAUUUAUUGGGUUUAAAGGGUGCGCAGGCGGAAUGUCAAGUCAGCGGUAAAAUUUCGGGGCUCAACCCCGUCGUGCCGUUGAAACUGGCGUUCUUGAGUGAGCGAGAAGUAUGCGGAAUGCGUGGUGUAGCGGUGAAAUGCAUAGAUAUCACGCAGAACUCCGAUUGCGAAGGCAGCAUACCGGCGCUCAACUGACGCUCAUGCACGAAAGCGUGGGUAUCGAAGAGGAUUAGAUACCCUGGUAGUCCACGCAGUAAACGAUGAAUACUAACUGUCCGGGCAGAAUGAUGCCUGG
rnacentral:rRNA from 1 species